GACAGAGGGUGCAAACGUUGUUCGGAAUUACUGGGCGUAAAGCGUGUGUAGGCGGCCAAGCAAGUCGGAUGUGAAAGCCCCAGGCUCAACCUGGGAAGUGCACCCGAUACUGCUUGGCUUGAGUAUCGGAGAGGUUGGUGGAAUUCUCGGUGUAGAGGUGAAAUUCGUAGAUAUUCGGAAGAACACCAGUGGCGAAGGCAGCGGGUUGGCCCUUAAUUGACGCUCAGGCACGAAAGCAUGGGGAUCAAACAGG
rnacentral:rRNA from 1 species